rnacentral:rRNA from 1 species
UACAAUGGUUGGUACAAUGGGUAUCUACCCCGAAAGGGGACCGGGAAUACUCCUAAAACCAAUCUUAGUUCGGAGUUGAGGGCUGCAACCUCGCCCUCAUGAAGCUGGAAUCCGUAGUAAUCGCGUUUCAACAGAACGCGGUGAAUACGUCCCUGCUCCUU